ACAAAUCUUGAUCGAACCU
rnacentral:miRNA from 1 species